UACGGAGGGUGCAAGCGUUAAUCGGAAUUACUGGGCGUAAAGCGUGCGUAGGCGGUUCGUUAAGUCUGUUGUGAAAGCCCCGGGCUCAACCUGGGAAUGGCAAUGGAUACUGGCGAGCUAGAGUGUGUCAGAGGAUGGUGGAAUUCCCGGUGUAGCGGUGAAAUGCGUAGAUAUCAGGAGGAACACCAGCGGCGAAGGCGGCGCUCUGGGCCGGAACUGACGCUGAGGAGCGAAAGCGUGG
rnacentral:rRNA from 1 species